CUAACUGUCCAUGGUACGACUGCAACCUGUAUGUGCAUCUUUGAAUUUACACAUGUCUGAUAUUUACAUAUUUUAAAAUCCCCUAUAGGAGGAGGGCAUGAUGUGUGAUUUGAGGAAGCGUAUGAAGAGCAAAACGAUAAAAUCCAUCCGGCAAGAAUUGUUUCGUUGUUAUCUUUUUCUUCUGAAUAAUUUUCUGAUGCUGAGACUUGGACCUUGUUCAUGCAUAUACUUUUCAAUAUGAGGGCUUUCAAGGAUGAAGAGGAGGAUAAAUUAGUUGCUUUAGUUACUAAAUAACGUGUCCGGGCGGCGGUACGGACUGGAUCCCACCAUCAUCACCAGCAGCCACCUCGUCCUGUCCCGCGUGUGCUGUCAGUCUGCGGGCGAGGAAGAGAACACCUGCGAAGAGGACGAGGAUAUCCUCCCCGAUAUGGAGCUCGCCGCAUUCAUGAGAUCAUCCACCAGCAGAGGACCAAAGAACCAGGCCUGCCGAGAACGCCAACUGCCCCAGCACGUUUGCCGCACCCCCGUCGCCUGUGCCCAUCCUCGUCGGCUCAGUUUUGUCUUCGUUAGGCAGGUACCUAUCUUUGGUGUUGAUUGUUGCUCACAUUCCUGUCAACACUUUGGUCUGUAGGUUAAGAAAACGAGCCCAAAGAAGUACUGCGUCCAGCCAAACAACAGCAUUGUGGCACCGCGAUCCACAUUCGUUGUUCUCGCCCUUGGCUUUAAUUGCGAAGUUGAUGAAGGAGGAGAAUAAUUUUGUGUUCAAGAGAACAAUAAGCAUCCAGAGGAACUGGUUCGUGGG